UAUACGCUUGGGCAAAGGCGCCCCCCUUGCGCGCCGACGCGCACAACUGGAAAAGCAGCCUCGAAAAGCCAAAAAGAGGCGCACGCAGCCGCAUGGCCGGCGACGGCGAGGGGGCCGCCGCCUUUGCGGCGGCGAAGGCGGAGUGGCUCGGCGGGUCUGGUGGCCUGCCGCUGCUGCGGUGGUGGCGCGCGUCGGGCGGCGGCGAGCUGCUGCGGGGCUGGGACGCGGUGCGCGCCGGGGCCGUGGCGCCGGCGCUCGCGGCGGUGUCGGGCGCGUGCCUCGCCAUGUCGGCCAUGCUGCUCGCCGAGGCCGUGUUCAUGGCCGCCGCCAGCCUCGUGCGGCGCCGCCCCGAGCGGCGGUACAGCGCGGGCCCGCUCGGCGCCCAGGACGGCGAGGACGAGGAGCGCGGCCUCCUCGGCUACCCCAUGGUGCUCGUCCAAAUCCCCAUGUACAACGAGAGAGAGGUGUACAAGCUUUCGAUUGGAGCAGCGUGCGGGCUGUCGUGGCCGUCGGAUAGGGUCAUCGUACAGGUUCUGGACGAUUCCACGGAUCCAACGAUCAAGGAUCUGGUGGAGCUGGAAUGCAUAAAUUGGGCUAAGAAAGGCAAGAACGUAAAAUACGAGGUCAGAAACAAUCGAGAAGGAUACAAGGCUGGUGCACUGAAAGAGGGGAUGCUGCAUGCUUAUGUCCAACAGUGUGAUUUCCUCGCUGUAUUUGAUGCCGAUUUCCAACCGGAACCCGACUUCCUCAUGAGAACCAUCCCAUAUCUCGCACGUAAUCCACAAAUUGCUCUUGUUCAAGCACGCUGGGAGUUCGUUAAUCCCAAUGAAUGCCUGAUGACAAGGAUACAAAAGAUGACACUAGAUUAUCACUUUAAAGUAGAGCAGGAGGCAGGUUCAUCCACAUUUGCCUUCUUUGGUUUUAAUGGAACUGCUGGGGUAUGGAGAAUUUCUGCCAUCAAGGAAGCUGGGGGCUGGGAUGAUCGAACCACAGUUGAAGACAUGGAUUUGGCAGUCAGAGCAGGCUUGAAAGGAUGGAAAUUUGUCUAUGUUGGCGAUGUCAAGGUAAAAAGUGAACUGCCAAGCAAUCUGAAGGCAUAUCGCCGUCAACAGCACCGUUGGACAUGUGGGGCAGCAAAUUUAUUCCGAAAGAUGGGAGCAGAGAUAUUGCUUACUAAGGAGGUGUCACUUUGGUGGAAGCUUUAUUUGCUAUACAGCUUCUUCUUGGUGAGGAAGGUUGUUGCUCAUGUGCUACCUUUCGUGCUCUACUGUGUAGUGAUCCCAUUUUCGGUGCUAAUUCCCGAGAUCAAAAUUCCUGCUUGGGGGGUGGUUUACAUUCCAACAGCAAUAACCAUUCUAUACGCCGUCCGAAAUCCAAGUUCUAUCCACUUCAUACCAUUCUGGAUCCUCUUUGAGAAUGUCAUGUCUUUUCACCGAACAAAGGCAACGUUCAUCGGUUUGCUGGAGUUGGGAAGCGUAAACGAGUGGGUGGUCACGGAGAAGCUUGGCAGUGUAAGCAAUACAAAGCCAGUGCCUCAGAUACUUGAAAGGCCUCGCUGCAGGUUUUGGGACAGGUUUCUACUAUAAGGCAGAUAAUGUGGAAUCCACCAAAAGUACUGGGGGAAGCACCCAGGUCUAUCCCCGGCACCAAUAGUUCAUGUUGUCCUUUGUGGCAAUGGCAUUGUGCCAUAUAAGGCACAACCAAAAUUUAACUUUCAAGGGCAGUUUUGUUUUCCAGAGAUGUCUAAAUGAUCUAUCAGGACCAGCAUCAGAAAGAUGGACAGUGUCAGAACUUCUGUUUGCUGUGUUCCUUUUCGUUUGUGCGACCUACAACUUGGUGUAUGGAAGCGACUUCUAUUUCAUCUACAUAUAUCUGCAGGCUAUAACAUUUAUCAUUGUGGGCACUGGUUUCUGCGGAACCUCUAACUCAUAGCAGCCAUAACAACUGAUCCAACCACGGGAACUAUAUCUUCACUGUAGGCAUGAUGUAACAACCUUUUUUUCUAGGGAAUAUUUUCUAUGUAAUAACCUCAUCCCUUUUGCCGUGAAUAGCAUCAGGCGAAGCGCAGCUGCCUUCUAGAAACAGGCUGGUGGAAAUCUAAAACGUCAUUUCCAUGUAACAACUUUCCACUGUUAUUGUACUUUUGCUCUCUUUUUUUGCGGGGUACUUUUGCUCUUACAUUUACCGGGAUUGUGCUAUCAGCACAAUUUGGGAAUACAAUCACAUUGUACCACUAAACAGGUUAUUGGACAAAACAACAUUUUUCGGGCAACGUCGGUUUGGAAUAUGAUUGUUGUGCCUAUA